UACGUAGGAGGCGAGCGUUGUCCGGAGUUACUGGGCGUAAAGCGCACGCAGGCGGUCUUGUAAGUCUCAGGUGACAGUCCCCGGCUUAACUGGGGAAGUGUCUGGGAAACUGCAAGACUUGAGGGCUUCAGAGGGACAUGGAAUUCCAGGUGGAGUGGUGAAAUGCGCAGAUAUCAGGAGGAACACCAGCGGCGAAGGCGGCGCUCUGGGCCGGUACUGACGCUGAGGAGCGAAAGCGUGGGGAGCAAACAGG
rnacentral:rRNA from 1 species